AGCAGCUCCUUCUUCCCCCAUUUGCAUGCAACGCAGCAAAACAGAUUUGGGGAGAAAGAAGAGCCCCCAAACCCUUAACCUCCUUUGAUCCACCAUAACUCUUCCGUCCGGGCUCCGAUCGCCGCACCGUUCACGGCCACGCGCUCAGCGCGUUGAGCUCUACCUUUCUAUCCGAACAAUUUCACUGGUUCAAGUUAGCUUCCGGAACUUGUGGGCUCAAGCUAUUGAGCAUAUGGGUAUGAUGCAGGUCGAGAGGCUCCUCACUAGGCGUCUGGAUCCUGGAAAGUGAAGUAGUCCUUGGGUAUAUUUUGGUUUUUUAUUUGUAUAUAUGUAUAUAUGUAUUUAGCUUACUCUCCAAGUAACUUAUGUAUACUACUCCUCUUAGAGGUUGAGGGAGAGAUAGGAGUUUAUUUUGGUAUUUUGGUAUAUUUUGGGGAUACCUAUGUAUGUUCAUAUGUAUAUAUAUAUAUAUAUCCUCUGGCCAGCCUUAGCUUCGCAGGCUAAGUCAGGGGCUAGUUAUGCUGUUCCCUUGGCUUU